AAUGAACGCUGGCGGCAGGCCUAACACAUACAAGUCGAACGGGUCCUUCGGGACUAGUGGCGGACGGGUGAGUAACGCGUGGGAACAUGCCCUUUGGUACGGAAUAGCCUCGGGAAACUGGGAGUAAUACCGUAUGUGGUCGAGAGACGAAAGAUUUAUCGCCAAAGGAUUGGCCCGCGUUGGAUUAGGUAGUUGGUGGGGUAAUGGCCUACCAAGCCGACGAUCCAUAGCUGGUUUGAGAGGAUGAUCAGCCACACUGGGACUGAGACACGGCCCAGACUCCUACGGGAGGCAGCAGUGGGGAAUCUUAGACAAUGGGGGAAACCCUGAUCUAGCCAUGCCGCGUGAUCGAUGAAGGCCUUAGGGUUGUAAAGAUCUUUCAGGUGGGAAGAUAAUGACUGUACCACCAGAAGAAGCCCCGGCUAACUCCGUGCCAGCAGCCGCCGUAA
rnacentral:rRNA from 1 species